AUUGAACGCUGGCGGCAUGCCUUACACAUGCAAGUCGAACGGCAGCACGGGAGCAAUCCUGGUGGCGAGUGGCGAACGGGUGAGUAAAGUAUCGGAACGUGCCCAGUCGUGGGGGAUAAGGUAGCGAAAGUUACGCUAGUACCGCAUACGAUCUAUGGAUGAAAGAGGGGGAUGGCAAGACCUCGCGCGAUUGGAGCGGCCGAUAUCAGAUGAGGCAGUGGGUGGGGUAAAGGGUCACCAAGCCGACGAACGGUAGGUGGGCUGAGAGGACGGACAGCCACACGGGGACUAGGACACGGCCCAGAUGCCGACGGGAGGCAGCAGUGGGGAAUUUUGGACAAUGGACGCAAGUCUGAUCCAGCCAUUCCGGGUGCAGGAUGAAGGCCCUCUGGUUGUAAACUGCUUUUGUACAGAACGAAAAGGCUCUGGUUAAUACCUAGGGCUUAUGACGGUACUGUAAGAAUAAGCACCGGCUAACUACGUGCCAGCCGCCGCGGGAA
rnacentral:rRNA from 1 species